rnacentral:lncRNA from 1 species
AGAACCUGUGUGCAAGAGCUAGGUGAAGGACCUCUAGCACUAGGGAGCUCUGUCCACUUCUCUGAGGAAGUGAGGCCACGUGUGGGGUACCGCAACCAAUUCAUCAUUGCCUUCUCCAGCUGCUGGAGACAGGGCACCGGAGGGUGCACUCCAGGUUCAGGUGGCAGUGUUGAAGCCGAAAGCUUCUAAAGAAGUGGUUUCAGAAAAAUUAAGAGUUGAAUGUAUAUGAGUAAGCAAACGUAGGAAUCCAAAAAACCACAGCCUGGGACAGAUCAAGCCUAGUACCUUUCCAGCACUUAAGAAGAGUUCAUGCCCAAUCGAUUCACUAUUCAUCUUGAUUCCAUCAUGAAGACUCUUGACUAGUGCCAUCUUUUGGCUGAUGUGAAUAAUGCUGCCAUACACAUAAAGGCUGGUCUUGGGUGUGAGUGAGUGAAGAAGCUGCUCCCAAACUCUCUGCUCUAAGGGAAGAUGGGGCUUGGAGGAGAUUUGACUUUGUAUAUAGUGCAUAUACAUGAAUGCUAGAUGCUGCAGGUAAAAUAGCUAACCUUAAGGAUAGGGUCUCCAGAAAAGAACAGGAUAGGUCCCUUAGAAAGUGACGAUCCUGGUACAGAAUGGGUUAGGAGAGCAGAGAAGCUGGUAGGUGGCUUCCAAUGUUAGGAGAGUUUCUUUUUAACAUUACUGUUUCUUAUGGAGCAUCUGCUUUGAGGUGUAUAUACCCCAGAGAAGGGGUACCCUUAAGGUCUUCAGGUGUUAUUCAUAGUAACAGCCUUUUUCUUUUAGUCCUAGUAAGCUGGCUAUAAAUCAGAUGGAAGAUUUGGGGAAAGCAGUACCAAUAUAAAGAUAUAGGAGCUGAUUUUUGUUGGUCUUUACUUGACAGAAAAUUCUAACAACAGGAAAGACUUGUAUCUGGGAUCAUUUUCCAUUCCUAGAAUAGGCCUACUCUUCCCCCCCCCCCUGUUGGAAGAAUGAUACCCAAGUGCUUAUUAUGUGAAGAAGGUGAUAAAUCGUUUGAAUAUAUAAGCUCUUGCUAAUAAGGUUACAGAAAACAAAGGCCAAACAAAACACUUGGAAUAAAAUCUUCAACCUGAAUAUUAUUCCCUAAAAUUUCAUGGAGAAGCAAUGUGAUUGUGAAGAGUUGCAUUCCUUAUAUUAAUAGGGGUUAGGUUGCUUUUUGUACCACAAACAGACAAGAAAAGCCCAACAGUGUUUCCUGGGUAUAGUUACUCAUCCUCUCAAAUGUUGCAAAAUACUAGAAGGAAAGGAAAAGCCAAAAGGGGAGGUAAUGGUUGGUGGUUUAAAAAAACUGAUGACUAACCAACUUGUGCUGACUAAUACUGCUGAACUCAUAAUGAGUAACACUAAUGAAUUUAGAAGGGUUAUAAGUAGAAGGCAUCUAUUUAAAGGUUACUUCUAUAUAAAAGGCAGCCAAAUUGUUGGUCACAAGAAAUUCGCUUUGGGGAAAUUGGGAGUAAUUCUUCUCCUUCCACAGUUAAGUUGUUUCCUUUGAAAUUUUUACAAGGAUAGAAAUUGUGAUCCUCCUGCCUCAUUCUUAUGAGUGGACCAUAGCCUUGUGUCACUAUGCCCAACUUUCAGUUCAUUUCUUAAAAAAUUAUUUUAUAAUUUUUA